rnacentral:tRNA from 1 species
UGUGCAAUGCAGGGGAUUAUGCCUUUUAGUCUUUCUGGGGGACUUGGGGUCCCCGGUUCAAAUCCGGGUUGCCCGA